AUGGGUCACGUACCCUGGGGACGGGAAUAGCCGCGGGAAACUGCGGGUAAUGCCCGAUAAUGCCGGAAGGCCAAAUGGAUUCCGCCCUGGGAGCGGCUCAUAUGCUAUUAGCUAGUUGGUGAGGUAAUGGCUCACCAAGGCUGAGAUGGCUAGCGGGUGUGAGAGCACGACCCGCGCCACUGGCACUGAGACACUGGCCAGACACCUACGGGUGGCUGCAGUCGAGGAUCUUCGGCAAUGAGCGCAAGCUUGACCGAGCGACGCCGCGUGGAGGAUGAAGGCCUUCGGGUUGUAAACUCCUUUGGUGGGGGAGGAAAUUUGACCUAUCCCAAGAACAAGCACGGGCUAAGUUCGUGCCAGCAGCCGCGGUAAGACGAACCGUGCGAACGUUAUUCGGAAUCACUAGGCUUAAAGGGUGUGUAGGCGGUCUGCCAAGUCAGGGGUGAAAUCCUUCGGCUCAACCGGAGAACUGCCCCUGAUACUGGCGGGCUC
rnacentral:rRNA from 1 species